rnacentral:rRNA from 1 species
UAUUGGUCAAUGGGCGGAAGCCUGAACCAGCCAAGUCGCGCGAGGGAAGAAGGCCCUGCGGGUCGCAGACCUCUUUGGACGGGGAGCAAGGCCGCCGACGUGUCGGCGGCAGGAGAGUACCCGUAGAAAAAGCAUCGGCUAACUCCGUGCCAGCAGCCGCGGUAAUACGGAGGAUGCGAGCGUUAUCCGGAUUUAUUGGGUUUAAAGGGUGCGUAGGCGGAAUGCCAAGUCAGCGGUAAAAUCGCGGGGCUCAACCUCGCUCCGCCGUUGAAACUGGCGUUCUUGAGUGGGCGAGAAGUAUGCGGAAUGCGUGGUGUAGCGGUGAAAUGCAUAGAUAUCACGCAGAACUCCGAUUGCGAAGGCAGCAUACCGGCGCCCAACUGACGCUGAAGCACGAAAGCGUGGGUAUCGAACAGG